UACUUCAAAAUUAAUUUUCCCGAAUCAUCAAAUACCCGAAACUAAGGAUUCUAUAUUCGGUCCUGCCUCGCCAUAUGACUGUGUUUUACAAUCGGACUACCCGGGACGGUUGACAUUCGCAGUCAGCGGUCACAACGAGGGCAAGGUAACCGAGACUUCCCAAAGGACGACGCAGCCGUCUAGGAACGACUCAUGGGCAGACGGAGCUAGAGCAAAUUCCAAAUGGGCACCCAAUAUGGGCACGACGGUUUUUCAUUGCAAAGCUAGCUCGGCUAGGGAAGAUCAUCAGAAACUUCCUAAAACGGAGAGACACGCAGUAGUAACAGGACAGCUCGGCACCCCUCGGUGUCAACAAAUGUUGCAGACGCUCCCUUACCAGCUGUGCAUUGUGGGAAGAUAACAUAGGGAUGUUUGGGAUCAUUGGAGAGCAACCCCAAGAGAAUAGGUAGUCCACAGGAACCCGCAGAAGCGGAUGAAUUGGACCAGGAUCGUUCUACAGAGCGAUAUCAUUGCAGCGCCUUUAUGUAACGCCAAAGUUGAGGUAAGGUCUUGUAUUCCUAACAUUCUGAAAUACCUUGGAUCCCUCUUCAUCCUCAUUUCAAACACAGCCCUACCAACUUCAAGUCCAUUCUUUUUUAUAAAUAUAUUGUGGUUAUUAUUACGAGCAAUGGAAAUCUAUGUUUUAAAGCUCUAUUUUUGUAUAUUGCUACUUGAAUGCAUUCUUUGCAUGUGUAUAGAAAGGUGACAGAAAGGUAAUAAAUUAUUAGGCAGCUCGGA